rnacentral:rRNA from 1 species
CGCCCUUACGGGGUGCAGCAGGCGCGAAACUUUGCAAUAAGCGAAAGCUUGACAGGGCUAUCCCGAGUGCCAUCCGCUGAGGAAGGCUUUUACCCAGUCUAGAACGCUGGGGGAAUAAGGAGAGGGCAAGUCUGGUGUCAGCCGCCGCGGUAAUACCAGCUCUCCGAGUGGUGUGGAUGUUUAUUGGGCCUAAAGCAUCCGUAGCUGGCUAAGUUAGUCCCCUGUUAAAUCCACCGAAUUAAUCGUUGGAUUGCGGGGGAAACUGCUUGGCUAGGGGACGAGAGAGGCAGACGGUAUUUCCGGGGUAGGGGUGAAAUCCUAUAAUCCCGGGAAGACCACCAGUGGCGAAGGCUGUCUGCUAGAACGCGCCCGACGGUGAGGGAUGAAAGCUGGGGGAGCGAACCGGAUUAGAUACCCGGGUAGUCCCAGCUGUAAACGAUGCAGGCUAGGUGUUUGGACGGCCACGUGCCGUUCUCGUGU